rnacentral:rRNA from 1 species
GCUUGUCUCAAAGAUUAAGCCAUGCAUGUCUAAGUAUAAACACCUUUAUACUGUGAAACUGCGUACAGCUCAUUAAAUCAGUAAUAAUUUAUUUGAUGGUGACUUACUACAUGGAUAACCGUAGUAACCUAGAGCUAAUACAUGCGAAAAAUCUCGACUCACGGAGAGAUGCUUUUAUUAGAUCAAAACCAAACGGCUUCGGCCGUCUCAUUGGUGACUCUGAAUAACUUUGGGCUGAUCGUAUGGCCUUGUGCCGACGACGUUUCCUUCGAAGGUGUGCCCUAUCAACUGUCGACUGUGAUAUAGACGCUCACAGUGGUUUUGACGGGUAACGGGGAAUCAGGGUUCGAUUCCGGAGAGGGAGCCUUAAAAACGGCUACCACAUCCAAGGAAGGCAGCAGG